ensembl:lncRNA HCG22 HLA complex group 22 (gene/pseudogene)
UCAUUUUCUCUUGCCGCCACUGUGUAAGAAGUGCCUUUUGUCUCCCUCCGUGAUUCUGAGGCCUCCCCAGCCAUGUGGAACUCCUCUUCUGCCCUGCCCGGCCACUCCUUUGAGUGACAGGGGGUAAUUGAGAAGCUGCUCCUCCCUCCAGGAAGGAAGACCCGGAGCUCUGGCUUCCCUCGGCAAAGCACAUAUAAACCCACAGCCACUGCGGGUGGAAGGAGAAGGGCAGGGUGGAAAAAGUUUGAGAGAAGGAGGGAGGAAAAGGUGUCCUGGCUAGCACCAUGUGGAUUCUCUUGAGAUGAGAAGAAAAUGCCCCGCUACGUCCCCCUUCUGCUGCUCCUGCUUCUCCUGAGGUGUUCAGAACGGGGUGGAGGAGUUAAUUUUGGUGAGAAGGAUGCAAAAGUCCCCGGGACCUGGAGAGAUGGAGUCAGGGUCCCUGGAGAAGGAGCCUCUUGGGACUCAGACAGGGCCAGUCCCGAGCGAAGGUACGGAAUAGUAGGACUAAGCCAAAGCAUUUCCACUAAGCACCCAGAGACCAGCCCUAAAGACUCAAGAAUAAGAGAAAAUGAUGUAACUGCAGAUGGAAGGACCACUGAGGACCACAUCACUGCAGACCCAGGGACCACCGAGGACUCUGUCACUGCAGACCCAGGGACCACUGAGGACAAUGUGACUGUGGACCCAGGGACCACCGAGGGCUCUGUCACUGCAGACCCAGCGACCACCAAGGACUAUGUGUCUGCAGACCCAGGGACCACCAAGGAUUCUGUCACUGCAGACCCAGGGACCACUCACUGAGAACUUUGUCACUGCAGACCCAGGGACCACCAAGGACUCCAUCACUGCAGACCCAAGGACCACAGAGGACUCCGUCACUGCAGACCCAGGGACCACCAAACACUCCAUCACUGUAGACCCAGGGACCACUGAGGACUCUGUCACUGCAGACCCAGGGACCACCAAACACUCCAUCACUGCAGACCCAGGGACCACCGAGGACUCCGUCACUGCAGACCCAGGGACCACAGAAGAUGAAACCACUAAACAUGGUGACACUCACCUUCUGUGAACUACUUCAGUCACAGCAGUGAAACCCACCAGGCUCCUGACACCCAUGGGAAUUAUCCUCAUAUCCCUGGCUGCAACCACAGUCACUGUUGUGCUCUUUGUUGGAUUGGGCUUCAUUGUGAAAGAGUGUUUCCUGCCUCCAUUAAAUCCAUCCACCAGGGUUAUUUAUCAUCCCCAUGUCAUGGACUACAGUACACCAUAAAGAGGACCCCAGCAGUGACUACAGUUGGUUCUAGAAAAAGGAGACCCCUCAUCCGCCUCUGCAAGACUAUGCAGCAUGAUGUGUAUCCUCAGGCCUCCACUCCUCCGCCCUAGUCUGGAGCCCUGGGACCACCACAUGAGGAAGGCAGCUGGCCCCUGGAAUAAGCAUGUGGAGGACACUCAGAAGGAUGCCCAUCUGCUCUGAGUGUCUCCUAAUUCUGCCUGACCUUGGUUACUUCCUCUGGACAAUCGCCUUUACCUAUCUACCAGGUUUUGAGGAAUUACACACAGCUCAGGUAUAAGAGAUAUUCGGUAAGUCUGAUCAAAUCAAUAAAGCAAAUUUUAUCUGUUUUUGUCUGGGACAUAUCUCUACAUUCAUUCAUUUAACCAAAAAAAAAAAAAA